AGCAGCCCAGAGCCUGAAUCAGUGUGUGUGUUAGUGGAAGCGUCUGGAAAGGCGCGCGAUACAGGGUGACAGCCCCGUACACAAAAAUGCACAUGCUGUGAGCUCGAUGAGUAGGGCGGGACACGUGGUAUCCUGUCUGAAUAUGGGGGGACCAUCCUCCAAGGCUAAAUACUCCUGACUGACCGAUAGUGAACCAGUACCGUGAGGGAAAGGCGAAAAGAACCCCGGCGAGGGGAGUGAAAAAGAACCUGAAACCGUGUACGUACAAGCAGUGGGAGCACGCUUAGGCGUGUGACUGCGUACCUUUUGUAUAAUGGGUCAGCGACUUAUAUUCUGUAGCAAGGUUAACCGAAUAGGGGAGCCGAAGGGAAACCGAGUCUUAACUGGGCGUUAAGUUGCAGGGUAUAGACCCGAAACCCGGUGAUCUAGCCAUGGGCAGGUUGAAGGUUGGGUAACACUAACUGGAGGACCGAACCGACUAAUGUUGAAAAAUUAGCGGAUGACUUGUGGCUGGGGGUGAAAGGCCAAUCAAACCGGGAGAUAGCUGGUUCUCCCCGAAAGCUAUUUAGGUAGCGCCUCGUGAAUUCAUCUCCGGGGGUAGAGCACUGUUUCGGCAAGGGGGUCAUCCCGACUUACCAACCCGAUGCAAAC
rnacentral:rRNA from 1 species